GCCUGGUGUGGUGGCCCACACCUGUGAUCCCAGCAGCUUGAGAGGCUGAGGCAGGAGGAUGGUGAGUUCAAGGCCAGCCUGGGCAACUUAGUGAGACCCUGUCUCAA
rnacentral:sRNA from 1 species